AUCUUUUGGCUUUGUAGACUCGAAAGGGAGAUAGUUUAUCUUUGCAGAUGCAUCUUGUAACUGACAGAUUAGAUCUGUUUUUGCAAUGGCCUUCGCUACUUUAAUGAAUUCCAAAGCCAUCAGGGGCGUUGGGCCCAACCCGAGCAUUCUUGGUCUGUUAAUCAGACUGGACCCUGUACUGGUUGACGCAAAAGCGGGUCUAGAGGAGAUGUCACUUUUAGUAGCUUGCUCCAUGGGGCAGGGGAAUCAGUACAACUGAACCUUGUAGAUCCGCCAGAGAUGUUUUGCAAUUGGUAGUUAGAUUAUGAGGAAGAGCCACUGCCAUAGGGAAGUGGAGCGUCUGCUUCUGGUAGUGAACCAUCCAAGAAUAGAAAAUCUGUUUCCAAGGGGAAGUCCAGUAAGAAGAAGGUUAAAGAAGGCGGAUGGAUCUCUUGAGGGCUGUAAUGAUCGGAGCUGAAGGCACCCCUUACCACGAUGGUCUUUUCUUCUGAUUAUCCUAAUGGACCUCCAAAAGUUCGCUAUCAUUCUGGUAGGCUUUGCAUCAAUCCAAAUCUGUAUAACUGUGGGAAGGUGUGCCUCAGCCUUCUUGGCACUUGGUCUGGUCAAUACAAGAAUGAGAAUUGGAUUCCUGGCAUUUCAACUGUGCUGCAAGUUCUGGUAUCCAUACAGGGGCUCAUAUUAAACUCAAAGCCCUAUUUUAAUGAGCCUGGGUAUGGGAGGUCAAUGAACAUGGAGCAGGGAGAAUCGACAGCAAUGACAUAUAAUGAAGAUACAUUUAUCCUUCCGCUGAGAACAAUGAUAUAUAAUAUGAAGAAGCCUCCUAAGCAUUUCGAGGACCUUGUUAAGGGCCAUUUCUUCAAGUGCGCUCCAGAUAUUCUGAUGGCUUGUAAAGCAUACGCAGAAGGUGCUUAGGUUGGAUGCCUUCUUAAAGGUGGCGUACAAGAUGUUGAUGCAGAUCAUAGAAGCAGCUCCCGCACCAGCUCCCUCCACUUUAAGGAUACUGUAUCUAAGUAUAUUAGUCUUCUGGUGAGAGAAUUCAGGAGACUUGGGAUCAAGGACUCGGAGAAAUUUAUGCCUCCGGCUCCAGCUCCAGCUCCGGCUCUAGCGAUGACAAGGGAGUGAAUAUCCAAAUAACUUCUUGAUUGAGACUGUCUUUUUUCGGUAGCAACACAGAUUAAGGUUCUUCUUAACUGGGGAUCAGUAACCUGUUGGAUGUUUUUGCGAAUGAUUUUGGAUAAUGUACAUAGGUGUAGACAUGGAUGAGUUACAGAA